GAUUCAUGGCCUGACCACACAAAGCUUUACAUGAUUCGUCUGACCACAAGAAUACAAAAUUCAUAAAAUACAAAGUUUACAACACUGCAACACCCGUGACUUUGUGGCCUGACCACAAGAAUUUCAUGACCUUCUCCAUUCUUUCAAGACCUGAAAUUUUCCAAAAUAAAUAUUCAAUGAUUCAGUCAAGCAAUAUAUUGUACAGACAAAAAACCCUUAAUGAAAGACGCCAUCACAUAUCAAAGGUUUACAAAAUGGUUUUAAUUAUUAUUACAUAGAUAGGAAAGUGCUUUUGUUUUACCCUACUUGUUGAGCAUAUUCUGAUGUGUUAAACAUACCCUUAAUCACGUUGAUUCCCGACUUCCUCACAGUGCCGGACUAAUCUUUUUCACUGCCCUAAUCAAAAUUUGAAACUAUGUCCUUUUACACAUUUUAUCAAGAUUAUAAACAGUAUAAAACUCCUAAAAUUUUCAUUAAAUAGAAUUGAAGUCUAUAGUUUGUUUAGAAAAAUAAACUGUGAUAAAAAUACUUAUUGCUGAAAUAUAUAUAUAUAUAUAUAUAUAUAUAUAUUUUGCAUUUUUAUGCUAAAUUAUCCAUUAGACUUCUAUAAUCAAUUUUUCAACCAUCUAUUAUAUAUCUAUUAUAUGACUAUCAUCAAAAUCCGUAAACACAAUCUAAAAAUAUUGUCAUAACAAAGUUAAGCUAUCAAGCUUUUAUCACAACUGAAAAACUAUGAACUAACAAACAUACCUUCUUACAACGUAAAAGAUUAGUUGAAAAAACUGAAACACUAAAACUAAUUUAUGUAUUACGACUUAAAAGAAAAGUGGACAGAAAGAAAAAUUAUGAUAAAAUAAAAAUCAUGCAUAAGGAUACAAAAGAAUAAAUUGAAACCAAAAGAAAAUAUGUUUUGUUGCUAAUUUUAAUUAGAGUUUUAAUUAUCAUCUGAAAUAGAAAUUUACUAAUGUAUUUUAUAUAUAACAAAUUUAUAAAUAUAGUUGAAAAGUUUAACAAAUUUUAUACAAAAAAUGUCUAAUAAAUAAUAUUUUAACAAAAAAACUUACAAACAGAGGAUCAUUGUUCUCAAUGCAACUAGCCAGCUCGUCCCAUUCAGCCAUCUGCAGUGUUCAAAGUAGAUUCCUUAACACAAAAAUAGAGCACAAAGCCAUGAAACUUAAUUUCUGAAAAUUCAAACUUAAAAUUCAUUAACUUUUGAAAUACAAUGACUCCAUGCCAUAAGCAGAACAAGAAACACAAACAUAAAAUACAACAAACAACAACUCAUUAAACAGAUGACCCAUCUUCUUCUUAGACGAUUCAAUUCAAACCAGAAUCAAGACAUGUCUCUUUUUUUGUAUAACAGUCUCUUUUUUUUCUUCUGAAAACCUUAGAAACAGUCUCUCUAUCUUGCUUCUUCCCUAUAUAUUUUCCAUAAUUUUUAGUAGUAAGACAUUCUCUUGGCGAUUCUCGAUCGAUAGUUUCAAAGACUCAGGACGCUGUAGUGGAAAAUAAAUUAAUAUACAUUUUACACUAUGCUAAAAUGCGAUCGCUCUUAUUGAAAGUCCCCUAAUACAUCUUAUCCUAAAAGAGAUGUAGCUCGUCCAAAGAGUAAGAUAUGCCAGUGGUAUUAUUAGAUAGUAGAUAUAAUAUGUAAAUGAGUGGCCUGAAAAUUUAGGACAACAAAGGUCCUUAACUUGAGUGGCUGAGUUAGGUAAACAAGAGUUGUUGAGUGAGUUCUUGUUUGCUUGCCCAUCUUCUGUAUAAGACCUGACGAUUAAGUGCGAGACAGCUGUGCACAUUGCCUCGAGGAGCGGCCAGUUUAUGGCAUUUAAGGUUCUUUUAGGAUGGCUUCGGAGAGUGAACAGGGAAGAAAUCUUGGACUGGAAAGACGAAGAUGGUAACACAGUCUUUCAUAUCGCUGCAUCCAUGAAUCAAACUGAGGAUAUACGCUCGAUAAUGAAGUUGCUACGUAGGACGGUUAACGCAGAAGCCAAGAACUCGAACUGUAAGACCGCAAUGGACCUACUCCCAUGAUACCCAGUGAUGACAGGAACUUUAUUAUUAUGGUGGUCCAUGAUAUUCAUUUCCAACAAACCUUGCAGGCAACGAGUGGACUUUCCGGCAAGGCAGCUCAGUUCAGGAGCUAUAGUGCUAACAAAGCCUGAAGCGCUCAAAAAUGUGUGUGGACUGUAUUAUUUGUUUUCCACCUUAUGUAGUAUUUGAACUCUUUUGUUUGGUUGUACUUUAAAUAACGUUUUCUACUCUUGCAUGUUCGCCCAUAAGGUUUCAAGUAGAACGGUCUUUUUCUUCUUUGUACGUUUUCUUUAGUCUUUCCAAGUUUGGUUGUCCCUACUUUAAAUAAGCCCAUAACUCCAGACAGCUUCAAGUAGAACGGUCUUUUCUACUUUGUACGUUUUCUUCACUCUUUCCAAGUUUGGUUCGAGGUAUUGUAACAACAGUCGAACUAGUUUAAUCUCAUAGUAUUGUUCUUACUAGUGGAAAAGAACUUUUGUGACUGAUACAUUAGAAUGUUUCUCACCAGAAGAUUCGAUUCAAAGACUAAAAGUAAGAACAUUAA